rnacentral:piRNA from 1 species
UGCCAGUGAGAAGACACCCAAUGGAGGCUACA